UACGUAGGGACCAAGCGUUGUCCGGAAUCAUUGGGCGUAAAGAGCGUGUAGGCGGCUUGUUAAGUCUUGCGUGAAAUCUCGGGGCUCAACCCCGAGCGGUCGUGAGAAACUGGCAGGCUAGAGUGCGGGAGAGGAGAGUGGAAUUCCUGGUGUAGCGGUGAAAUGCGUAGAUAUCGGGAGGAACACCAGUGGCGAAGGCGGUUGCCUGGAGCUUUGCUGACGCUGAUGCGCGAAAGCGUGGGGAGCGAUCCGG
rnacentral:rRNA from 1 species